rnacentral:rRNA from 1 species
AUGGAGCCCGGCGGGCCGUGGCGCGAUCCGCGCCAGGGGUACAUGUACGGGCUCGGAUCGCCGAUGCAGAUGCCGGCGCAGCAGCGCUCCGACCCGGCCGCCGCAGGCGGGGUUCUCAAGCGGAGCCUCGGCGAGCUGGAGAGGUGGCAGCACCAGCGCCAGUACGUCAUGCAGCAGGAGCUCUACAUGCGCGCCGUCAGGCAGCGCACGGCCGCCACGUCGGCGGCCGUCUCGCCGCUCACCUCGGCGGACAUCGCCGCCGUGCUCGGCGGGGUCCCGGCCCAGCCCUUCUUCUCCGGGUCGAGCCUCGGCGGUGGCCUCGCGUCGCCGUCGUCCACGCUGUCGUCCCUCACGACCGCGUCCAGGGCGGCCAUGCCGCUGAUUCAGCAGCAUGUGCAUCGGCAGGCGCCGUUCGUGCCGUCCUCGGCCCACGCGCAGGCGCAUGCUCUCGCGGUGGCGAGGGUGCCGGCUCCGUCCGCGGCUGGGAGCGAGCUGUCCAUCCUGCAGGACCUGGAGAAGCAGCUGCUCGGCGACGACGACGAGGCUGAGCCGGCGAUGAGCGGAACCGGUUCCACGGUGACCAGCUCCGAGUGGGAGGAGACCAUCCAGCGGCUCAACUCCAUCACGGCCGCGCCGUCUCCUCCACUCUACGCGGAGGGGACUCCGAAUAAUAAGAACAACUACAGCGCGGCGAUGACGGGGUCGCCGUCGAACUCGUCCACGUCCACGGCUUCUUCCUCGGCUUCCUGCUCACCGCCAAUCUCGGCCACCACGUCGCGUCAAUUACUGUCCGAAGCAGCGGCUGCCAUAGCCGACGGCAACCUUGAAACGGCGGCCGCUAAUCUGGCAACUCUCAAGCGCGCCGCUAACCCGCGCGGUGACGCGGAACAGCGGCUGGUGGCCGUGAUGGUGGCCGCCUUGUCUUCGCGCAUUGCGCCUGCUGCCUCGGCAUCGUCCCAGCACCUCGCUGACCUCUGCGGCGCCAAGCACCAUACCGGGUCCCAGCUCCUCCACGACAUCACGCCCUGCUUCCGCCUCGCCCUCGACGCCGCUAACAUCGCCAUCGUUGAGGCCGUCGCCGGCCACCGCGUCAUACAUCUGGUGGACUUCGACAUCAACGCCCCGCAGCACGCGGCACUCAUCCAGCGCCUCGCCGACCGGCGCGUGCCGGGGACAUUCCUGCAGGUGACCGCCGUAACCGAUCCCACCUCACCGUUUACGCAGUCCCUAGCAGCGACGCUUCCCGGCGUCGGGGAGCGGCUCAAGAAGCUGGCGGAGCGCGCCGGCAUAGAGUACCACUUCAGAAUGAUCAGCUGCAGAGCAGCAGAGAUUGAGGCAUCCAAGCUGGGGUCCGAGCCCGGGGAGGCGCUGGCCGUCAACCUCGCCUUCGCGCUCUCGCACGUGCCUGACGAGAGCGUGUCGCCGGCGAACCCCCGCGACGAGCUUCUCCGCCGCGUGCGCGCCCUCGGCCCGCAGGUGGUGACACUCGUGGAGCAGGAGCUGAACUCCAACACCGCCCCGCUGGCCACGCGCUUCUCGGACGCCUACUUGCACUACGGAGCCAUUCUCGAUUCACUGGACUCGACGGUCAGCCGGGAUAGCGCGGACAGGGCGCGGGCAGAGGAGGCGGUGGCAAACAUGUCGGCCAACGCGGUGGGCCGGGAGGGCGCCGACCGGCUUGAGCGGUGCGAGGUCUUCGGCAAAUGGCGCGCGCGGUUCGGCAUGGCCGGGUUCCGGCCGGUGGCGCUCGCCGCGGGCAUCGCCGACCAGGUCAUGGCGCGCGUCGGCGCUCCCCCGCCGGGCCUCGUCGUGAAUCAAGAGAACGGCGUGCUCCGGCUCGGAUGGAAGCAGCGCGUGGUGGCCGUGGCCUCCGCCUGGCGCUAA